rnacentral:rRNA from 1 species
ACGGGGGCAGCAGUGGGGGAUAUUGCACAAUGGAGGAAACUCUGAUGCAGCAACGCCGCGUGAGGGAAGAAGGUCUUCGGAUUGUAAACCUAAGUUAUCAGGGACGAAGUCAAUGACGGUACCUGAAGAGAAAGCUCCGGCUAACUACGUGCCAGCAGCCGCGGUAAUACGUAGGGAGCGAGCGUUGUCAGGAUUUACUGGGUGUAAAGGGUGCGUAGGCGGGUUUGCAAGUCAGGCGUGAAAUACCGUGGCUCAACUACGGGGCUGCGCUUGAAACUUUAGAUCUUGAGUGAAGUAGAGGCAAGCGGAAUUCCUAGUGUAGCGGUGAAAUGCGUAGAUAUUAGGAGGAACACCAGUGGCGAAGGCGGCUUGCUGGGCUUUAACUGACGCUGAGGCACGAAAGUAUGGGGAGCAAACAGGAUUAGAUACCCUGGUA